AGCGGAGGAAAAGAAACUAACCAGGAUGGCCCUUAGUAACGGCGAGCGAACCGGGCAGAGCCCAACUUGAAAAUCUCCAGCCUCCGGCUGGCGAAUUGUAGUCUAGAGAAGUGCUCUCUGCCUCAGUCCGGCCCCAAGUCCCCUGGAAAGGGGCGUCAGAGAGGGUGAGAACCCCGUUGGGACCGGAGCCUGGGGCUCCACGAGACGCUUUCGAAGAGUCGGGUUGUUUGGGAAUGCAGCCCAAAGCAGGUGGUAAAUCCCAUCUAAGGCUAAAUACAGACGGGAGACCGAUAGCGAACAAGUACCGCGAGGGAAAGAUGAAAAGAACUUUGAAAAGAGAGUUAAAAAGUGCUUGAAAUUGUUGAGAGGGAAGCGAUUGGAUCCUACGGGUGCGCCCAGGCACACGCCUGCCUAACGGUUGGCUGAAUGCGCUGGGUGCUGGUCAGCAUGGGUUGGCCGGGCGGGACAAACCCGGGGGUUGCUACCCCGGCUAUGUCGCCUGGCCGACCGAGGAACGAAGGGCGCUCUCUGAGUCCUCCGGGAACUGCGUCCUCAAGAUGCUGGCGGAAAGGUUCCAAUCGGCCCGUCUUGAAACACGGACCAAGGAGUCUAACAUGCAUGCGAGCUGGUGGGUGGCAAACCCAUGAAGCGCAAGUAACCUGACUGGUGGGAUGGCCUGUGCCUGCACCAUCGACCGACCAUGAUCUUCUGUGAAAGGUUCGAGUACGAGCAUGCCUGUUGGGACCCGAAAGAUGGUGAACUAUGCCUGAGCAGGGCGAAGCCAGAGGAAACUCUGGUGGAGGCUCGUAGAUGUGCUGACGUGCAAAUCGCUUUUCGGACUUGGGUAUAGGGGCGAAAGACUAAUCGAACCUUCUAGUA
rnacentral:rRNA from 1 species